AUAUCAUUAGCAUUUUUAAUAAUUUUACAUUGACCUUUAGCAGAAUCACUUACUUUCCUUCAUUUUCUGGUUGGCAUUUUCUAAGGAUCUUGUAACUUCAAAUUUCAGCAAAUCUUCUUUUGUACUCAGUGCUUGUUCAGUGCUCAGGUGUUGUUACCUGCGCAGAGGUAAGAUGCUGUUGGUGUCUACCAGUUUCCCUCACGCAUUGGACCCGCCUCCACUCAUCCCCAUCCCAUGAGGCCCUGGGAUGGUGUCAGUCACAGUGUUCUUCCUGCCCUCUCUCUGCAGCCAUAACCACAUGUCCCAGACCUGGCCAGUCCUGGCCAGUCAUGGCACACCAUUCCCCUCCCUACAGAGGGGUUCCAAGUCUUAGGUUCCUAACUCAAGGAGAGGUGCCAGGACCCACCUUCACUACCACAUAAGGAAAACCUGUCUGUAUUUGAAGAGAAUGAAACUGAUACACAAAGAAUAUUACAAAAAGCAGAGCCAAGAUAUAGAAAUAGUUCUAUACCAUUUCAAUAUUUGGAUUUAGCAGUACCUUUGGAUUCACCUUCAGCUUUUUGAGUCAGAAGAGAUUAACAGAUUUGCUUUUUUGAAAGUUAUUUUGAAAUGAUUUAUUUCAUAAUAGAGUCUUACACAGUAGUCGAAUAGUAUAUCAAACCAAAUGCUAUGCAACUGUAUGAAAUAAAAGGCUAACUCAUAAUAAUGUUGAUGAGACUCAGGUCUUUUAUGCGUAUUACUCCAUACAGAAGUGGUAAAUAAAGAAAUUGUAUUGGUACAUUGGUAUAAUAUGGAAAUUGCAUGGAUUCAUACACAGUUUUUCUCAGUACAUUGUUUUAAAGCAAUCAUGGAAAGAUUUUUUUUUUAAUUUUUACUUAUAUAUAUUAUUUUUAGGUUUUAGGGUACAUGUGAAGAACAUGCAGGAUUGUUGCAUAGGGAGGCUGGUGCCUUGGCUCAACAACAGCAGGUGGGAUGAAGCAGUAACCUCCGGAGCCAUCUUUGACCUGCAGCUCCAGCGUAAUGUGGUCAAGUUCUUCACUCUCCUCCCACUUCCCCGAAUCUUAGUCUGGAGUGUUAUGGAAAGUUAAAUCUAUCAAACAUAUUAACUGACCUUCCUGCCAAAUGCAGAACAAUGCAAGGUGGAGUGGGAUGAUCAGCAUUUUAAAACUUAUAAAUAAGAAGUAGAUGUGCACCAUCCUUCUCUUCUUAUCUGCAAUGUUUCUUUUCCUAGAGGCAACCAGUGUUACCAGUUUCUUACACUUCUUCCAGAAGUGUUUAAUGCACUUCCAAGCGUGCAUGUAUAUAUUUUCUUAAAUGCACACUCACAUAUAAAUGGUAACAAACCUAACCCAUCAUUCUGUACUUCACUUUUUAAAAUCAGGUGUUGAAGAUUCUGCCACAUUGAUGCAUAUCAGACAAACUUGCUCUUUAAAUACACCAAAGUGCCUGGGCGCAAUGGCUUACACAUGUAAAUCCUAGCACUUGGGGAGGCUGAGGCAGAAGAAUGACUUGAAGCCAGGGGUUUGAGACCAGCCUGGGUGACAAAGUGAGACACCUCCUUUCUCUUAAAAAAAAAAAGAUAGCAAGGAAUUUUAUGAUAUGAAUGCACUAUAACAGACUUAACCAAUUUUUAAAUUUUAUCAAUUUAGGUUUUUUCCUCAAUGUUUUGCUAUUAAAAAUCACGCCAUAACAUGCGUAUCUUGUAAGUAUAUCAUAUCCAUGUGUGAAUCUACCUGCAGAAUAAAUUCCUAGGAAUAUAACUGUCAGGUUGAAAAAUAUUUACAAGUGUAAUUUUGGUAGAUACUGCCAAUUACCCUCACAGAGGUUGUGCCAGGUCACCAUCCUACCAGCAAUACCAGUGGCUGUUUCCUUAAGCCCCAACCAGGCCAAGGUGUUACCAAAUUUUCAGUCUUUGCCAAACCAGCAGUGACAAUGAUGUCUUAUUCUUGCUUUCAUUUGCAUUUCUCUUAUUGUAAGUAGGCAAAGCACCCUUACUGAUGUUUAAAUGCAUUUUUAAAAAAAUUCUGUUUAGGUGCUUGUCUCUUGAUUUGUUGGUCUUUUUUAAAAAAAUCUCGUAAUGAUUUGCCUUCACACUUAGUACAUUAAGAAAAAUGGACUGUGCUGUGUGGUACAAAUAUUCUAUCCUAAUUUAUUGGUUGACUUGUAACUUUGUGGCAUUUUCUUCCAUUCAUA
ensembl:lncRNA